rnacentral:rRNA from 1 species
GGGAGUGAAAUAGAACCUGAAACCCUGCACUUACAAGCUGUGGAAGCACAUUUCUUGUGUGACCGCGUACUUUUUGUAGAACGGGCCAACGAGUUACGUUAAGUAGCAAGGUUAAGCACUUAAGGUGCGGAGCCGUAGCGAAAGCGAGUUUUAACUGAGCGUUCAGUUACUUGACGUAGACCCGAAACCGGGCGACCUACCCAGGAGCAGGAUGAAGCGAAAGUAAAAUGUCGUGGAGGGCCGAACCCACGAGCGUUGAAAAGCUCGGGGAUGACUUGUGGGUUGCGGUGAAAUUCCAAUCGAGCCCGGAGAUAGCUGGUUCCCCCCGAAAUAGCUUUAGGGCUAGCCUCAAGGUGAGAGAUACGGAGGUAGAGCACUGAAUGUCCUAGGGGGUAUUGCACCUACCGAAGACUAUCAAACUCCGAAUGCCGUCAUCUUAUACUUGGGAGUCAGACUGUGGG